CCUGAGUACGACGGAGCACGUGAAAUUCCGUCGGAAUCUGGGAGGACCAUCUCCUAAGGCUAAAUACUCUCUAGUGACCGAUAGUGAACCAGUACCGUGAGGGAAAGGUGAAAAGUACCCCGGAAGGGGAGUGAAAGAGAACUUGAAACCGUGUGCUUACAAGUAGUCAGAGCCCGUUAAUGGGUGAUGGCGUGCCUUUUGUAGAAUGAACCGGCGAGUUACGAUCUGAUGCAAGGUUAAGCAGAAAAUGUGGAGCCGUAGCGAAAGCGAGUCUGAAUAGGGCGAAUGAGUAUUUGGUCGUAGACCCGAAACCAGGUGAUCUACCCUUGGUCAGGUUGAAGUUCAGGUAACACUGAAUGGAGGACCGAACCGACUUACGUUGAAAAGUGAGCGGAUGAACUGAGGGUAGCGGAGAAAUUCCAAUCGAACUUGGAGAUAGCUGGUUCUCUCCGAAAUAGCUUUAGGGCUAGCCUCAAGUGAUGAUUAUUGGAGGUAGAGCACUGUUUGGACGAGGGGCCCCUCUCGGGUUACCGAAUUCAGACAAACUCCGAAUGCCAAAUAAUUUAACUUGGGAGUCAGAAUGUGGGUGAUAAGGUCCAUAUUCGAAAGGGAAACAGCCCAGACCACCAGCUAAGGUCCCAAAAUAUAUGUUAAGUGGAAAAGGAUGUGGCGUUGCCCAGACAACUAGGAUGUUGGCUUAGAAGCAGCCAUCAUUUAAAGAGUGCGUAAUAGCUCACUAGUCGAGUGACACUGCGCCGAAAAUGUACCGGGGCUAAACAUA
rnacentral:rRNA from 1 species